AGGGUUAACCCGGCUAGGCAGGCACCUUGACAUGGUGGGGGUCAGCGGUUCGAAUCCGCUCGUGCCUACCA
rnacentral:tRNA from 1 species